rnacentral:rRNA from 1 species
AUUGAACGCUGGCGGCAUGCUUUACACAUGCCAGUCGAACGGCAGCGCGGGCUUCGGCCUGGCGGCGAGUGGCGAACGGGGGAGUAAUACAUCGGAACGUGCCCAGUCGCGGGGGAUAGCUCGGCGAAAGCCGGAUUAAUACCGCAUACGACCUGAUGGUGAAAUCGGGUGGUCUUCGGACCUCGCGCUAUUGGAGCGGCCUAUGGCCGUUUAGCUAGUUGGUGCGGUAAAGGCCUACCAAGGCGACGAUCUGUAGCUGGUCUGAGAGGACGACCCGCCACACUGGGACUGAGGCACGGCCCAGACUCCUACGGGAGGCAGCAGUGGGGAAUUUUGGACAAUGGGCGAAAGCCUGAUCCAGCAAUGCCGCGUGUGUGAUGAAGGCCUUCGGGUUGUAAAGCACUUUUGGCGGGAACGAAAAGGACUGUGCCAAUACCACGGUUCGAUGACGGUACCCGCAGAAUAAGCACCGGCUAACUACGUG